rnacentral:lncRNA from 1 species
AGAGGUGGAAAUUCAUAGUCCAUGCUCAAGAUCGAAUGGCAUCUCUCAGACUGGAAGACCUUUCUGAAGUCAGUUCCAGACAUCCCUGGAAGGCUGGAUAAUUUGGGAAAAGGCUGACUCAAUGUAAGAAAGACUUCCCUGGCCAGGUGCCAUCCCUCGGUGCUUCCACGGUUACUGACGCGUGUAUUCUCCACAGCAAUUACAACUGGAUCAAAAUCAUGGAUCUACAUGCCCAUUUCACCCACUAGACUGUGACGUCAGAGUCGGUGACAUUGCCUUCAACAUCUCCGUAUGCUCAUUACCCAGGGUGGUGCUUUCUACAGAAGGUCCUCAAUCCAUCCUCCUUGAAAUGAAUGGAAACCAACCGGCAUGUGUAAUGAAUGGUUCCAAAAGAGAAUGCUCUAGGAGUGCAGCUUGGGAUGCUAGGAACACACUCCGGUCUGGAGCCCAGCUCACUCCCUGGUUCAUGGUGGAUGUCCAAAAAUAGGCAUGAAAACGAGUGAAGCGAGAAUAUGUACUUCUCAAUUCUCAAGUUAUUAUUGGUGACACCCACCACCUAGUACCAGAUCUCAGGAGGCUGAGAUGGAAAGUUAUGGGAAACUUUGUACCUCUUGCCAGUUGAAUUCAUGACACCCAAUUUUAAAUCUUUUUUCGGCCCCAAAUUUGCCCACAUGACCUAUUUCUAUUGUAACUGCCACUGGAACUUUUGACCAGGGUAAAUCUUGUGCCUUCUUCCAGUGCCUCCUGCUCCCCUCAUCAGUCCCCAUCUGUCCUCUAACCAUGCUGACUUCUGUCCAAACUGCUUCUGGACUGGCCCUGGCAUAGACCUGCAUUAGAGAUGCAAGGCAGCAAGGUGUUUAUUUAUUUAGUUAGUUAGGAAAACAGAACAAAUUCUGGGAUGUAAUGAGAAAUGACAUACACAUAAGAGGCUUAUGACCAAAAUACGUUAAUACUCAUUGCAAAAGAAGUUCUACUUUUUAGCUUUACAUUUGAAGGCUUUAAAAAUAUGUCUGAGAGUGCUAUAGAGAGUUAUACUUUCUUCCUCCCCAUGUGACCUAAACCUCCAAUUCAGCUGCUUAAAUAGCUGACACCGACCCUAAAAUGGAAAGCUCAUAUUACAGAGGAGAAAUAUG